UACGGAGGGUGCGAGCGUUAAUCGGAAUUACUGGGCGUAAAGGGUCCGUAGGCGGUUAGAUAAGUCAGAUGUGAAAGCCCUGGGCUCAACCUAGGAACUGCAUUUGAAACUGUCUGACUAGAAUAUAGUAGAGGAGAGGGGAAUUUCCGGUGUAGCGGUGAAAUGCGUAGAGAUCGGAAGGAACAUCAGUGGCGAAGGCGACUCUCUGGACUAAUAUUGACGCUGAGGGACGAAAGCGUGGGUAGCAAACAGG
rnacentral:rRNA from 1 species